AUCGUAUUUUUGAAGAUGCCCCCAUGUUGGGAUUUGGUUUUUUUUUUUUUUUUUCUUUCAACGUGAUGUCUAACUUAAAAAUCCUUUUAAUGGUUGCCGGACUGCGUCUGGAAUGUAGUAAAAGUCCUUUAUUUACCGACCUAGCAAUUUCUUUUCCAGUUGGUGGAGCAAUCAACCAAAACAUCUGCACAAUGCACUGCAACACGUUCCAGGUGUCUAUCGGCCAAAAAGCCUAUUGAACCGUAACGAAUUCAACUCUCGUAUUUCCUCUUUGUCACGUCCUUUCAAAUGGUCAAUAAGAAAAUCGCUUGUUUUCUGCAAACAAUAAGCAAAAUUGGCUUUAAAAAAUGGCGUUAAACUCCAUCGGGAUGUCAAGGACUGCUAGACUGAACGGUGUCAAACUUGACUCUCUCCUAUAUUUAAUAUGUACAUACGGAAUAUAUAAUUCAGGUCAGAACAGCUUUUUCUAUCUGAUAUUCCGUAAAAGUAACCAGUCUUUCAACCAAAUUCGUUGUGACCCGUUUAUUCACAGGUGCGUGGAUUCGGCAGAAGGACGGCUCUCUCUAUUUAUAUAUAUUUUUCAUAUCUGAUGCCAGAAGUAUAUACAGUACGCAUUUAUAUUUGCAAAAUACAUCUCUCUUUGUCAAAAAUUGUGCAUUAACGUUUUGUACUUAAUGAAGUAAAUUAAGUGUAACGAGUUGCUACCAUCAUUUUGACGUGAUGCUAUCGACUCGUUACGGUUAAUUUUAUCUUAAUUGCACGCAUUCGAAAUUUUUAUUAUUGUAAACAUUAAUUUUACGAUAAGUAUCCCG
rnacentral:lncRNA from 1 species